AACGGUCUAUACCUGCGGUACCUGCGGAGGGAUCAUUACCGAGUGAGGGCCCUCUGGGUCCAACCUCCCACCCGUGUUUAUCGUACCUUGUUGCUUCGGCGGGCCCGCCGCAAGGCCGCCGGGGGGCUUCCGCCCCCGGGCCCGCGCCCGCCGAAGACACCUGUGAACGCUGUAUGAAGAUUGCAGUCUGAGCGAAAAGCUAAAUUUAUUAAAACUUUUAACAACGGAUCUCUAGAUCGG
rnacentral:misc_RNA from 1 species